ACGGCGAGUGACCGGGAAGAGCUCAAAUUUGAAAUCUGGCGUGCUCAGUGCGUCCGAGUUGUAAUCUAUAGAGGCGUUUUCCGUGCCGGACUGUGUCUAAGUCCCUUGGAACAGGGUAUCAAAGAGGGUGAUAAUCCCGUACUUGACACAAUGACCGGUGCUCUGUGAUACGUCUUCUACGAGUCGAGUUGUUUGGGAAUGCAGCUCAAAAUGGGUGGUGAGUUCCAUCUAAAGCUAAAUAUUGGCGAGAGACCGAUAGCGAACAAGUACCGUGAGGGAAAGAUGAAAAGCACUUUGGAAAGAGAGUUAAACAGUACGUGAAAUUGUUGAAAGGGAAACGAUUGAAGUCAGUCGUGACUGAGAGGCUCAGCCGGUUCUGCCGGUGUAUUCCCCUCAGUCGGGUCAACAUCAGUUUUGUUCGGUGGAUAAGGGCAGCUGGAAGGUGGCACCUCCGGGUGUGUUAUAGCCAGCUGUCGCAUACAUCGAAUGAGACUGAGGAAUGCAGCUCGCCUUUAUGGCCGGGGUUCGCCCACGUCCGAGCUUAGGAUGUUGACAUAAUGGCUUUAAACGACCCGUCUUGAA
rnacentral:rRNA from 1 species